rnacentral:rRNA from 1 species
AGCAGCGCCGCGGGAAUACGUAGGGUGCAAGCGUUAAUCGGAAUUACUGGGCGUAAAGCGUGCGCAGGCGGUUAUAUAAGACAGAUGUGAAAUCCCCGGGCUCAACCUGGGAACUGCAUUUGUGACUGUAUAGCUAGAGUACGGCAGAGGGGGAUGGAAUUCCGCGUGUAGCAGUGAAAUGCGUAGAUAUGCGGAGGAACACCGAUGGCGAAGGCAAUCCCCUGGGCCUGUACUGACGCUCAUGCACGAAAGCGUGGGGAGCAAACAGGAUUAGAUACCCCAGUAGUCCCUGUCUCUUAUACA